AGCCUUGUGGUGUUUAACAUGUUGGAUUGCAAAUCCAAAGUCGCAGGUUAGCUCCUGCCGGGGCUU
rnacentral:tRNA from 1 species